AAAAAAAAUUAAUACCGUCUGUUAUGGGCUAGCAAAAUCAGUUUUAGAAGAUGCAAACACGUAAUACCGCGAUGUAUCCGUGAAAUAAUCGUAACAGUAACACUUGUGAAAUUAAAAACUUUUUUUCUAUAUACGGGAAUGAAAAUAAUAUUCUUUUUAUCGUCAUUAAUCAGCAAAAGCUAAUACGAAGUUGAACAUUAAUAUUCUUACUAUUUUUUAUGAAUUCUUUUUGUAUUUUUUUUAUCAUCAGAUAUAUUGACAAUUAAAAUUGGCUUAAUUUAAUUUAAUAAAAUAAAACGUAAAAUUUGUCUUUCUCAUUUCUUGGGAAUGGCUUACAUUUGUACGAGAAUAGCAUGACGCAAGUGAUAUAAUAAGAUUCAAGUAGCUGAAAUCUAAGACGUUUCUAACGCGUGUUUGUGUUUCUACUUUUGAAUGAGCGCGUUGAAAGGAUCUCCAUGAUUAUGUGAUCCUUACGAGGGUAUUAUUCGGGUAAUGACAUCACAUUUUGCACGAAAUUUUAGGCCGCGAACCACUCGUAAUAUUAAAUUGAUACGGCCGUUCUCUCUCUGCUUGACGAUCAAUCCAGCUAGAUUACAUAAGAUUACAAAGAGAUGAUCGUGCACACAUACAUGAUGUUUUUGCUGUCGUUGACUUGUGACAAUAAUGAUAUAAAUUAAUUAAUUCAAAGAAAAUGCAUAAUUGCGCUUAAGGAAAAGUAUGUAAUUUGUAAUAUGCAAUUGAGGAACGGACGCUAUGUAGUUUGUAUUCCGCGCAUAAACGGCCGUGACACGAACACUCGAAGUGCGUCCACAAAGCAUCGACAUAAUCGUGCCUGUUCCUCGAAGAUUGCAAGAAAGGAAAGAAGAUAAAUAAUCUGUAAAGACCAGAAAACCGAACGGAAACGGUAAUCGCCGGUAAUCGGCGUUUCUUGCUGCUUUGUAGCACGCGAAAUUUGAAAAGGCACCUGUUAAACAAUAUGUCAAGCGCUGAGAAAGAAACAGAAAGAGAGAGAGAGAGAGAGAGAGAGAGAGA